rnacentral:rRNA from 1 species
AUUGAACGCUAGCGGGAUGCUUUACACAUGCAAGUCGAACGAGUGGCGGACGGGUGAGUAAUAUAUCGGAACGUGCCCAGUAGAGGGGGAUAACUACUCGAAAGAGUGGCUAAUACCGCAUACCAUCGGAUGGGCCCAUAUCGGAUUAGCUAGUUGGUGGGGUAAAGGCUCACCAAGGCAACGAUCCGUAGCUGGUUUGAGAGGAUGACCAGCCACACUGGGACUGAGACACGGACCAGACUCCUACGGGAGGCAGCAGUGGGGAAUUUUGGACAAUGGGGGAAACCCUGAUCCAGCAAUCCCGGGUGUAUGAGAAGGCCUUCGGGUUGUAAAGUACUUUUGGCAGAGAAGCGGUAUCUGCAGAAUAAGCACCGGCUAACUACGUGCCAGCAGCCGCGGUAAUUC